AGUUUUCCAGAAUAUGCUUAAUUCAACCCUGAUUAUAUAGGCAUCAAAAAAUGAGAUUUUUAGUGAACAACCUGAAAACCACAAAUAAAAUAUACAUCAAUGGAUUACACUAACAUAGGAAAAUAUGCUAACACACCAUUUCUAUGGAAAGAAUGCUCUAGGGACAAUGACUCACACUGUGCAUUGUGAAAUCAUGAAUUUUAGCAGUUUCAUUUUCUGUGAUUUUCAUUAAAAUAGCUAAGAAAGAGUAUAUGUUUGGAAAAGUAUUUCUUAAUGAUCUGUUAGACACAUCCCAGAAUGUCCUAAUGUUUUUCACAUGUGGUUCAACUGAGCCUGUGAGGUUUGAUGACACACUGUUCUGACUUAAAUGAGGGCCUCUAAAUGUAGUAUUAUUUUCCAUGUCCACUCAGGGGGCAAUUAUCCUCAUCAUGAUGGUUUAGGAAAAAGGGCUGAUUAAGAAAGUGUCUUCAGGAAGGCUGCAUGAAAUAAGCAGCCUGGUUCACAAGGAAGGAAUUUAAUUCAAGGGAAAUGAGAUGAGGCUCCCUUCCGCCUUGCCUUUCUCAAUUCCAUCCUCAAUAGUCCAUUGGUAUGGUAUAAACUAACAUUUUAGAUAAUCUCAUUUAAUCUUAAUGUAAAAUAUAGUCUGACCUUUAAUAAACUCCACUACCCCUCUGAAUAAAGUCUCCACUCCCUGACCAGGAAUGCAAGUAUGUGGUCUAGCUGUUGCCUGAAUUUUAACCUCUUGGCUCACCAGUCUGCCUGGUACUUUGAGCAGCCUGAUGUGCUAAGAACUCCUCCCUAGUCUCCUGCUCUUUCUUACUCCUUUGCCUUUGUUGAACUGACUCUUCCUGAAAUAAUUUUUUUCCUUAACACUGCUUUACCUCUCUUAUGGGUUAUUUCAAGAGUCAGAUGAUUUUCUUUCUUUUUUUUUUUUUUUUUUUUUUCGUCUUUUUUUGCCAUUUCUUGGGUCGCUCCUGUGGCAUAUGGAGGUUCCCAGGCUAGGGGUCAAAUCGGAGCUGUAGCCACUGGCCUACGCCAGAGCCACAGCAACGCGGGAUCCAAGCCGCGUCUGCGACCUACACCACAGCUCACGGCAACGCCGGAUCAUUAACCCACUGAGCAAGGGCAGAGAUCGAACCCGCACCUCAUGGUUCCUAGUCGGAUUCAUUUCCACUGCACCAUGACGGGAACUCCUGAAUUUUGUUUUUAAGUCAUUUUAAUUUCAGUUUUUAUGGCUGACAGCACAGUACAGUAGAGUGGGCAAAAUGAAUUUGGAAUCGAACAGAUCUUGGCUUCUAUCCUUCACUUAUUAACUCAGUGGUUUAAUUCUCAGCAACCUAUUUAAAUCCCCGUUCUUCUCUUUCUCAACUGUAAGAUAUGGACAGUACAGCUACCUGUUGUGAAACUUAAAUUUUUAAUAGAAUAAUGAUUCAAAACGUUAAGUCCCCAGAGUAGAAACCCAGUAAGUGGUAAGUG
rnacentral:lncRNA from 1 species